UACGGGGGGGAGCAAGCGUUGUUCGGAUUUACUGGGCGUAAAGGGCGCGUAGGCGGCGUGACAAGUCACUUGUGAAAUCUCCGGGCUUAACUCGGAACGGUCAAGUGAUACUGUCGUGCUAGAGUACAGAAGGGGCAACUGGAAUUCUCGGUGUAGCGGUGAAAUGCGUAGAUAUCGAGAGGAACACCUGCGGCGAAGGCGGGUUGCUGGGCUGAUACUGACGCUGAGGCGCGAAAGCCAGGGGAGCGAACAGG
rnacentral:rRNA from 1 species